rnacentral:rRNA from 1 species
AGAGUUUGAUCCUGGCUCAGGAUGAACGCUAGCUACAGGCUUAACACAUGCAAGUCGAGGGGAAACGACAUCGAAAGCUUGCUUUUGAUGGGCGUCGACCGGCGCACGGGUGAGUAACGCGUAUCCAACCUGCCCACACUUGGGGAGUAACCUUGCGAAAGUAAGACUAAUACCCAAUGAUAUCUCUAGAAGACAUCUGAAAGAGAUUAAAGAUUUAUCGGUGAUGGAUGGGGAUGCGUCUGAUUAGCUUGUUGGCGGGGUAACGGCCACCAAGGCGACGAUCAGUAGGGGUUCUGAGAGGAAGGUCCCCCCACAUUGGAACUGAGACACGGUCCAAACUCCUAGGGAGGCA